UACAUAGGUCCCGAGCGUUGUUCGGAUUCAUUGGGCGUAAAGGGUGCGUAGGCGGCUUCCUAAGUUUGAUGUGAAAUCCUGGGGCUCAACCCUGGAACUGCAUUGAAUACUGGGAGGCUAGAGUACUGGAGAGGAAACUGGAAUUUACGGUGUAGCAGUGAAAUGCGUAGAGAUCGUAAGGAAGACCAGUGGCGAAGGCGAGUUUCUGGACAGUUACUGACGCUGAGGCACGAAGGCCAGGGGAGCAAACGGG
rnacentral:rRNA from 1 species